rnacentral:rRNA from 1 species
UUGCAAGCCGCCGCGGUAAUACGUAGGGUGCGAGCGUUAAUCGGAAUUACUGGGCGUAAAGCGUGCGCAGGCGGUUUUGUAAGACAGGCGUGAAAUCCCCGGGCUCAACCUGGGAACUGCGUUUGUGACUGCAAGGCUAGAGUACGGCAGAGGGGGGUGGAAUUCCACGUGUAGCAGUGAAAUGCGUAGAGAUGUGGAGGAACACCAAUGGCGAAGGCAGCCCCCUGGGUCGAUACUGACGCUCAUGCACGAAAGCGUGGGUAGCAAACAGGAUUAGAAACCCCCGUAGUCC